UCUGACUCGAACGUUCCAGCUGCGUUGGCUAGUGUCUCACACCAGUCACAUCCUUCUUGCUGGUGAGAACCAGAAGGGAGAAUAACUCACUUGGCUAGGUCCCCCCACUUCUCCUGGAAGAGUCAGGGCACCUGGCUCCUUGCUUCUCAUCCCCUCUUCUCUAUCCCACUCCAUCCAUCCACCUCGAUAAAGAUCUCUGGCCUCUAGUUAUGCCACAGGCAGUGAAGAAAAAAAGAACUCGAGUGACUCUUGUAAGAAUCUGUAGGCGUGUGACAAGACCUCCGAGAGAAAUUCAGACACCACUGGUGGCCUCCCUGCCCUCUGGUUGUCUUGUGUGACUGACUGCUGUGAGCCGGUGCCAGCGUCUUUCCUGUGCGGGCCUUCUGGGUAGCCAGAAUGGGCAUUGACCUCUGCUGACCUCUGUGUGACUAGACAAAGCGGAGAGUGGGGGCCUUUCUUCCGUCUUCCUUCUUGAAGUUCAAGGGCUGUUGAAUAUUUGACACAGGUAUUAGAUUGUCAGAAAAGCCAUGAUGCAUUUCUGCAGAGAGAACAACAACAGAGAGAAGUACGUCAUGGUGUGGGGCUGGCUGGCAGCUCACCUGAUUGAGCGCUCACGUUACAAUCCGCAAGGACCCAGGUUCAAGCCCCUAGUCCCCCUCCCCACUCCCCGCAGGGGGAUAGCAUGAGUGGUGAUGGAGGGCUGCAGAUGUCGGUCUGUCUCUCUCCCUCUCUAUCUCCCCCUUCUCAAUUUCUGGCUAUCUCUAUCCAAUAAAAAAUAAUAAUAAAACAAAAAAUAAAAUUAAAAAAAAGUCAUGGCCUUCCUGACAACCGUAUAGAGUCAGCACAGCCCAAAGGGUUGUGGGAAGUUAGGAACAGCAAAGGUUCCUCCAGGCUUCCUUUCUCACAGCCCAAGCCUGCAGGUGCGCCUCGGCCCACACGGCGCUCGGUGCCCAGCAGGCCAGCUCCCCACACCUCUCACGUGGAGACGAGCGUCUCCAUCGCUUUGUCCCCACGGAGUCUUGUCCUGGCUUCCUUCCGGUUGCCAUGGGCCAGGCACCCAGGUCAGAAGGCCACUCGCUUCUUCCUCCUCCUUCCUCACAUAGAAAAAAUGCAGGACUGGCCAGUGCUUCGUGUCCUUGUUGCUUCUAGUAACCCUUGUUUUUCAAGCACCUCCCCCCACCCUGUUUUUUUUUUUUUUUUUCUGUAAGUUGUGUCUUUCAAGUCCUGACUGAAAAUGUGAGCUAGCUGUGGCUUCCUGGAGGCAGCGGUGGGCCAGGCCCACAUGGUAGAAGGCCCUAGACUGCUGGUGCUUUGUGGUCUGGACAAGUUACGGCAAAGCGACCUCAGAGGACAGACACAGUGCCCGCGGCUCUGUUCUCUGGGAGUAGCAGUGAGACAGGAAGGUGACCAGAGCCCAGGUGAGGGUGGGACACGCCACAAACUAGGUGGUGGCACCUUUCCCUUGAGCAGUCAGGCUUCUUCCCUCUGUGAUGUCAGACCGAUGGCACGGUCAGAAGCAUUCUGGAAGGUUCUUCACGGGAUACUGGUGAGCUCACCUCCCUCCGGCCGCUGGCUGCCGAUGAUCCCUCGAUGAUCCCUCUCUAUAAGGAAGAUCAACAGAGAGCAGGGGGAGGGACGGAGGCCCUUAGAGGAGAGCUGAGCUCAUGCCUCCUUGACCCCUACGCCCCACUGACCAGGUGAUGUGAAACCCGGAAUCUGUCAAGUGCUGCGAUGACCCGUCUCUGUUGCUGUGACGCUCGCUCAUCUGACCCGAGAGAGUAAGAGCAGGCGAGGUGCACAUAAGAGGCGCUGUAUACAAACGCCACUCUUUCUCCUUAUCCACCCAUCUCUCCGUUCUGCCAGAGGAUGGUCUAGAACUGCUGGAUGUUCUCUUUGUUGAGAGACUGAUGCUGUGAAUGGUUUGGGUAAACGGUGGUGUGUCUGUUCUGAGUGUAUGUUGGCAACUACGAGAGGUGACCCCAGACCCACCCCAUGCAGAGCUGCUGUCCGGCCCCAAUAAAGUCUUCAGAAAUA